GGGUCGUUAGCUCAAUGGUAGAGCAGCGGACUCUUAAUCCGUUGGUUAUAGGUUCAAGUCCUAUACGACCCA
rnacentral:tRNA from 1 species